rnacentral:rRNA from 1 species
UGGGGAAUUUUGGACAAUGGGCGAAAGCCUGAUCCAGCAAUGCCGCGUGUGUGAAGAAGGCCUUCGGGUUGUAAAGCACUUUUGUCCGGAAAGAAAUGGCUCUGGUUAAUACCUGGGGUCGAUGACGGUACCGGAAGAAUAAGGACCGGCUAACUACGUGCCAGCAGCCGCGGUAAUACGUAGGGUCCAAGCGUUAAUCGGAAUUACUGGGCGUAAAGCGUGCGCAGGCGGUUGUGCAAGACCGAUGUGAAAUCCCCGAGCUUAACUUGGGAAUUGCAUUGGUGACUGCACGGCUAGAGUGUGUCAGAGGGGGGUAGAAUUCCACGUGUGGCAAUGAAAUGCGUAGAGAUGUGGAGGAAUACCGAUGGCGAAGGCAGCCCCCUGGGAUAACACUGACGCUCAUGCACGAAAGCGUGGGGAGCAAACAGG